rnacentral:lncRNA from 1 species
CUUUAAUAUGCCGAUAAACAGAGAUUUUAGAAAAGUAAAAGUGCGUCAAGUUUUACAGGAUUAAAUCAGCAGCAGCAUUUGCUAUCUGCCAUAACCCCUAAGUAUAGCAUUUAGAUGUAGCCAGUUUUUGAAAGCUGUAUUGCUGCUGACGAAAUGGUUUUCCCUUUCCAAAUAAAGUGUUGGUGAAUAUUCCUGUUAUGCCAAGAAACAGGUAAUGGAGGGACAUUGUGUACUCAGAAGUGCUAGUAAUCAAUUUAUCUGAAGCUUAAAAUAAAAGAUGAAGAUUUUAAUUUUUUUUAAGUACUUAAACAUGUCCUAAAUAAAAGCCUCAAAAAGUCAGGGUUACUUCAAUUCAGGUGAAACUCUCUCUGCUGGUAGGACAGCAGCUAUACACAUUUUAGACUGAGAACUGUACUAAGAUACUUUUCUACUAUGGUUCAAAAAAUUGUUUAUUUUCCACUCCCUAGUUCCCUGACAAACAUAUAAUUGUGGCAACCUCGUUGAUCAUCUCUACUAUUCCAAACUGCAAUCACUGAGAACCUGGUAUGUUAUCCUUUGAAGGAAACAAAGAAUUUUUAUUCCAUCUACCUUAUCCACGGAUGACUGCACCUAGGAAACUGAAUGAUCAUUUUAUGGUGAGCUACAGCCAUGGGUAUCAUAUGGCAAGUAUCCUGCAGCCAAGGAGCAGCACCGAAGAUGAGCAUCAGUGAAAGAAUGAUUGAUUGCAAGCAAAGAAGAAAGAAUUUACACAGGAUAGCAUCAUCUUCUGGGGACAGUAUUCUUCUUUGUGCUUUUUAAACCAAACAAAACCUCUGGAGACGUUAAAUUAAAUCAAUGUUAAAAGAAAUGAGAAUUAUUUCUAACUUGUCAUAUCAAACCCCUACAGAAAAGCAUCUCUAUUCAUUGUGUAAUGCCUGCAAUGCCUAAAGAUCUUCUCAAUUAUAUUUGUUUUCCAGUUCAUUCUCCUCAUCUAAGAAAGAAAUGCAUUGCUAUCUAAAAAUAA